AUACGGAGGGUGCAAGCGUUAAUCGGAAUUACUGGGCGUAAAGCGUACGUAGGCGGUUUAUUAAGUCAGAUGUGAAAGCCCCGGGCUUAACCUGGGAACUGCAUUUGAAACUAGUAGACUAGAGUAUGGUAGAGGGGGGUAGAAUUCCUAGUGUAGCGGUGAAAUGCGUAGAUAUUAGGAGGAAUACCAGUGGCGAAGGCGGCCCCCUGGACCAAUCCUGACGCUGAGGUACGAAAGCGUGGGGAGCGAACAGGAUUAGAUACCCCAGUAGUCC
rnacentral:rRNA from 1 species